GAGGGUAUAGCUCAAGUGGUAGAGCACACGCUUAGCAUGCGCAAGGUCCUGGGUUCAAUCCCCAGUACCUCCU
rnacentral:tRNA from 1 species